rnacentral:rRNA from 1 species
GACGAACGCUGGCGGCGUGCUUAACACAUGCAAGUCGAACGAUGAAGCUGGAGCUUGCUCCGGUGGAUUAGUGGCGAACGGGUGAGUAACACGUGAGCAAUCUGCCCUUGACUCUGGGAUAACUGCGGGAAACUGUAGCUAAUACCGGAUAUGAGAUCUGAAGGCAUCUUCGGGUUUGGAAAGAAUUUCGGUCAAGGAUGAGCUCGCGGCCUAUCAGCUAGUUGGUGAGGUAAUGGCUCACCAAGGCGACGACGGGUAGCCGGCCUGAGAGGGUAACCGGCCACACUGGAACUGAGACACGGUCCAGACUCCUACGGGAGGCAGCAGUGGGGAAUAUUGCACAAUGGGCGAAAGCCUGACGCAGCAACGCCGCGUGAGGGAUGAAGGCCUUCGGGUUGUAAACCUCUUUUAGCAGGGAAGAAGCGAAAGUGACGGUACCUGCAGAAAAAGCACCGGCUAACUACGUGCCAGCAGCCGCGGUAA